CAAGUGAACCUGCUGAGCUGCUCUUCCUACCCACUCACCAGCCCACAGAUGCCUCCAAGAAGAUGCGGUAGCCUGUUGGUCCGGGAACCCGAGCCCAGGCUCUGACAAAGAAGCUGUACGCCCAGGACCACCCACUGCAGCCUCCAGUUGCAGCAUCUCAACCAGCGCUUCCAGCACACAGUACCUGGUGCUGCCCAAAAGGGCCAAGCUGGCUGUGCAGCUCAGCCUCACCUGGACCCAGGUGCAGCCGCUGCCAUUCUUCCUGCUCUAGGCUCUAGGGAACUCACCCCCUUGGCUUGAAUGAAGAGUGGGCCAGCCCCCUGUCCUGUGCUCAGAUUUGUUCCCAGCUGGCCCUUAGACACUGGGAAUUUGUUAAGGAGAUGGAGACUGGUAGAUUCAGGUGACAAUCAGUUUUCAGAACAAAUGCUCCAAAUACAAGAAGCUCCUGAAAUAGAACUCUGGAGGCCAGGAAGCAGACUUCCUAGGGAGGCUCCCCGUCACUGUCUCUCUGCUCCCCUCCUUCCAUGCCUUUGGGAUCUAUCCCAGGCAUGGGCCCCUGUCCACUGGUGGCUUUGGUAACGGGCUUUGGAGCCUGGUAUCAGAACCACUCCCCAGAUGUCCUGGUUCCCCCUCAACUGAUGUCAGUCUAGUGAUGGGUGAUGGGUCUGCUCCCAGCCCAGCUAUGAAGCCCAGGAUACAGCUCACCUGCACCCCUCUGGAUUAGGAGAAAACCAGCUCAGAAUGGGUUUUCUCAGGAGGGCAAGUAACUAGAGGGGGGGAAAAAGUGUGCCCCCCCCAUCCUACAACUCAAACUCCUUAAUCAAGGACUUCAAACUAAGCCAACUACCAUGGGACUGGACCUCCACUCCAGUUGGUCAAAGGCACAAGACAGGCAAUACUGGAAUUCAGACUGUUCCCCAGUAAGGACAUGCCAAGGACUGCCACCACAGUGAGGAUCAAAGGCAGCAGGAAACACUGCCUCUGAGUGUGCUCCAUUCAUUUCCAAGCAGAAGCAGAAGCAAAGUGGACAUCCAGAGCCUUCAAGUCCUAUGCACAGGUUUUUUUUUUUUAGGUCAAUCUGCUCCCCCUAUAACUGACCCAGCUACUUACUAUGGAAGUAGAAAAGAUGGGGAGAAACAGUCUGUGGACCUGUGAGUAACUUAGGCCCUCUUCCUCCCCCCACCCCAAGAUCAUCUUUUUCUCAUGUCUACCCAUUUAAAAAUUUUUUUUCUUUUUCUUUUUUUAAAUUAAUUAAUUUAUUUAUUUAUUACCUUUUGUUGCCCUUAUUGUUUUAUUGUUGUGGUUAUUAUUGUUGUUGUCAGAUAGGACAGAGAGGAAUGGAGAAAGAAGGGGAAGACAGAGAGGGGGAGUGAAAUAUAGACACCUGCAGACCUGCUUCACCGCCUGUGAAGCGACUUCCCUGCAGGUGGGGAACCAGGGCUCAACCCAGGAUCCUUACUCCAGUCCUUGCGCUUUGUGCCACCUGCGCUUAACCACUGCGCUACAGCCUGACUCCCUUUCUUUUUCUUUUUUUUUAAUAUUUAUUUAUUUAUUCCCUUUUGUUGCCCUUGCUUUACUGUUGUAAUUAAUUGUUGUUGUUAUUGAUGUUGUUGUUGUUGGAUAAGACAGAGAGAAAUAGAGAGAGGAGGGGAAGACAGAGAAGGGGAGAGAAAGAUAGAUACCUGCAGACCUGCUUUACCACUUGUGAAGCGAUUCCCCUGCAGGUGGGGAACCAGGGGCUCGAACUGGGAUCCUUCUGCUGGUCCUUGCACUUUGCGCCACGUGCGCUUAACCCACUGUGCUACUGCCCGACUCCCAAUGUCUACCAUUUUGAGUGGAGAAUUGUCCACAUGGCUCAUCAGGUAUUUAUUUAUUUAUUUAUUUAUUUUUAGAAUAUUUAUUUAUUCCAUUUUGUUGCCCUUGUUGUUUUAUUGUUGUAGUUAUUAUUGUUGUCGUCGUUGGAUAGGACAGAGAGAAAUGGAGAGGGGAGAGGAAGACAGAGGGGGAGAGAAAAGAUAGACACCUGCGGACCUGCUUCACUGCCUGUGAAGGGGCUCCCCUGCAGGUGGGGAGUCAGGGGCUCGAACCAGGAUCCUUAGGCCAGUCUUUGCACCACCUGUGCUUAACCCGCUGCACUACCGCCCAACUCCCCAGGUGUUUAUUAAGAGUCCUCUUAUACUUCACCCCUAAUGCCCAGCAAACCCACAGGUGCACACCCUCAAGACUGGAUCCCCUGAAUGUGAGUAGAAAUAACCCUAAAUAGGUGAUUAAGUGGACAGUUCAGCCCCUCACAGCAGUUUCUUGCUCAUAAUUAUAACCAAGUUGACUAGCAACCCCCACACUCUCAGCAUUCCUUAAAUCAUGAAUUUUCAGAGAUUAAAGUCUGUACAGAAACCUUGA